rnacentral:lncRNA from 1 species
UAGUUCAGGGUUAUGAACAUAGUUUAGGGUUAUUGACAUCGUUUUUUUUUGCAAAUCAGAUUUAAUGACCUACAUCGUAGAGUUUGCGGGUUUCAGAAACAUAAAAUGAACACCAAUACUAACUAUGUUAACACUAAAUACUAUUUAGGACCACUCGGUUAGCCAUCAGACCAUUGUAGUGUUAUUAGCGACCCCUUCUCUGAAUCAGUGCUUUGGUUAAUCCCUGGCAGGUCCGCAGGAAACAGUUUAAUUUAGCUGUAGCUUGAUAGCAUGAGCUAACGAUGGGUUCAUAUCAACCCGGAACAUACUACUGUUUCCCCCAAUCAAGGACAAAACAUAACAUGCUGGCUCUGCUAAUGCGCUCAGAUUAGAUAGAACAUAAAAUCGUAAAAACCUGAUUAUCCGACCUUUAAAUUAUAGUUUAUCCCCGUUUAAUUUGACACAAACAUUUAAUUUCCGAGAUGGUUGAACGCGGCACAAAAACGGAUGGUUGUGGCCAGAGCUAUAGAGAGUUGCGACACGCUAUGAUCUCGCCGACAGGGUGGUCACGUGGUUGUCACGUGGUUCAUGUAAGCCUCAAUAGUUCCAAACACGCCGCGCAGUCAAUGUUAUUCUAUGGGACGACAGCAGAGAUUUCAAUAUUGAAUGAUCAAUGGUCAUACCAUGGUUGGCUGUGCAGCGUUUGGAUGCUCCAAUCGGUCCGAGAAGGGUUACCACAUGUAUGGCUUCCCCAAGGACCAAGAGCGCAGGAAGAAAUGGAUGGCAAUGGUCAGCCGUCAAAACUUAAAGUGACAGGGGUCAGCAACAGUCAAAAACGAUGUAAUGUACACUUUGAACUAAUUCACUGCCACAAAAAGAGAAGGGAUGUUGAAGCUGAGGCCCGAUGCAGUACCAACAGUUUUCAUUCAUCGCCCUAAGCCGAAGAGGAGGAAACCCCCUUCUGUGAGGGUGCCUCCAGAACCAAGUGCAACGGACCACACAUAU